AGAGAUGUUACAAUGUCGCCAUUGUCAUUGCUGUGUAUUUGGCAAGUUAUUUGGAAAUUAUUGUUUAGUCUGCAUUUUUCAUUCUUGUGGUUUAUGUUAUAAAAGUAUAAAAAUAUUUGGACAAGUACACAAUAACAAUAAAAAACUUUUUUAGUUUGAAUUAAUUUAUAUAAUUACUUAAAUUUAUUUUAAUCCACUAUUUUAAUAUUUUAUACUUCUAAUUUAUUUAUAGCAAUGUUUAGUCAGAAUAUAUUUCUGAUUAUUCGAAUAUAAUGAAACAUAUACCUAUAUGCUUAUAUGAAAUAGAAUUAAUGUUAUUAUGUAAAACCUUUUAAUUUUAAUUUUUAUUUAUACAAGUUAGCUAUUUUCUUUAUUUGCCACUUAACACAUUCACUGCUACUUGUAACGUAGACAUAUUAUGAUUAACCUUAGUAGUGGCAUAUAUCAGUAUCAUGGUUAAUUUUAGUAAUUCACCUGGCAUAAAUAAAAAGUCAGCUAAAUUACAAGUAACACUGAAUGUGUUAAGUGGCAAAUAAAAUUUUAUAAAGAUAACAGCUAACUUAUAUAAAUAAAAUAAAUUAAAGGAUUUUAUAUAAUAAUACGAAUAAAUUCUAUUUUCAUUUAUGCCAUUUGGAUUACUAAACUUAACCAUGAUAGAGAUAUUAUUUUAAACCAUAUAUUACUGGACCAUGCACAUCUUAUCCUCCUCCACCUUAUCCUAUUGUUCUAGCUGUUGCCGAAUUACAGGAAAAGGAUGGACAGUCUCUCGCCAUGCGUGCGACAGAAAAGUCUAUACCAUCGUUGAAGUAAACGUUGCCAUUCAGGAUUGCUGUAUUUUGUUCGAAAUAAUUUCGACUGCUGCGUGUUACGUACGGUCAUGGAAUACGUCAUUCCUGUUGAAAUCUGACACAACAAUAAUCUGAAACCUAACCUAUCCAUUUGCAUUCUAGAGCGUAACCCAAUAUAAUUCAAUACAUCACUCAUGUGCUAUCAUUUUCCCUUAAGCCUCCACUACAAUGACUUUCAUUCACUGUAGCUACAAUAGUCAUACAGUUGUACCAAUGAUCGCUUAAGACGGUUAUUUCCAGUCACAAACGAUUAUCGAUACGAGACUGCGACAUCAUUGUAGCGGAGACUUUAAGUUGGCAACACCUUCCACCAUAAAUGCAUUGUCCAGUAGUAUAUGGUCUAAAGACAUUAUGGUUAAAUUAACUUUGUCAAUGUUAACAUGGUUAACCUGAAUGUGUUAAGUGGCAAAUAAAAGA